UAAGGAAUAUUGGUCAAUGGACGCAAGUCUGAACCAGCCAUGCCGCGUGAAGGAUGAAGGUCCUCUGGAUUGUAAACUUCUUUUAUCUGGGACGAAAACGGGAUUUUUAUCUCAAUUGACGGUACCAGAGGAAUAAGCACCGGCUAACUCCGUGCCAGCAGCCGCGGUAAUACGGAGGGUGCGAGCGUUAUCCGGAUUUACUGGGUUUAAAGGGUGCGUAGGUGGGCUUAUAAGUCAGUGGUGAAAUCUCCGAGCUUAACUUGGAAACUGCCGUUGAUACUAUAGGUCUUGAAUUAUCUGGAGGUAAGCGGAAUAUGUCAUGUAGCGGUGAAAUGCUUAAAUAUGACAUAGAACACCAAUUGCGAAGGCAGCUUACUACAUAUAAAUUGACGCUGAGGCACGAAAGCGUGGGGA
rnacentral:rRNA from 1 species